GUGUGUAUAGUAACUUACCAUUAUUGAGUAGUAGAACCCUGCAGAGAAUAUGAAGAAAGGUAUAGUUAGAGAGGGAGUAUGUUAUUAUGUGUAUUGUUCUUUAUGUAGUGAGUAGUACCCUGUAUACUGUGGUACUUGUAGUCGUUACACUGUGUGGGAGAGACAAUACAUGUAGUGAGUAGUACCCUGUAGACAGUAUGUGUGAGACAGAACUGCUUUUGCUACUUCUACGGCCUUGCAAAUGAGAAACGAAAAAUACUAGAAUUGGAGGAAAUAGAAUCUGAAUGCAUGAGACGUAGUUCCUGGAAUUUUGAAAAACCAGUUAAGAAGUAGAAAGAUCGCUGAAAAUGAAAGCAGUUCUCAAAUGGAAUGUAACUAACAAAUUUGCAGCUAAUUGUUGUUAAUGGAAAGUAUAAUUAAAAUGUUCUAUUUCAAUAUAAUAGAUUCUCUUAGUGCUA